CUUCUCCCUCAAAUCAAGUAGGACUACCCGCUGAACUUAAGCAUAUCAAUAAGCGGAGGA
rnacentral:rRNA from 1 species